AGGAACCACUCUAAUUUUUCUCAAUUACAAAGGUCAAACUCAAUUAGACCUGCCUUCAAUCAGCCCAACCUUAGGCCCACUCAAUCAUCAAAUAACCCACCAGGCUUCGACAAUGAUCAAAGACUUAACUCACUGAAAAGGGUUAGAGAUUUUGGUGAAAUCAACUUCUUACUGCAUAAAUAUCUUCAAUGAUUUCAUAAAAACCACAGGUAAUUUCAUACAAACCACGAGCC
rnacentral:lncRNA from 1 species